rnacentral:lncRNA from 1 species
UCAAUCCCCAAAUGUCCUGGCACCUAAAUAUGAAUGCUGAUCUUGCUUUCUCUUUCAGAUCCCUGUAUUGGUCUGACCUCCAAGAAGCAAGUUCAAGGUGGCCUUAGCAUGCAAAAGAUUCACUAGAAGAAACCCCUGUGAAGAAUAAGGAGUGAGGCCAAGAGCCAGGAAGGGGAGUCUGAAGACCUGACCUAUGGAAGGAGAGAAGGAAGGGAGGAAGGCGGCAAGGGGAGGAGUCCCCGGCCCCAGUGCCAUUCUGGCAAUGGCUUGUCCAGGCCAAUGGACUCUGGACCCAAAUCUGUGUAAGAGUUGCAAAUCUGGCGGGGACGGCCCUGCAUUGAUAACACCAGAGGUUCUCAGGCCUUGACAGCAGCCUGUAGCAAGCGUGGCCUCUUUAAGAACACUGCGUGGAUCCAGAGAGGAGGUGUCCAGUGCUGCAAGCCAGCUGUGCUCCCUGCAGCAGGAGGUCUCCCGGCUCAUUUCUGUGGCCGCCACAACCCUCUUGCAUCCUGACUUCGAUAGAGCCAUCUCAGUCCACAGGCAGCUUUGAGAUCUUGGAAGCAUGCAGGCUCCUUAUAAAGAGGCUGUAUAGUUACAUACACUUUUGGAAGGCAUAGUGGGCAGAUGCCAAGUGGGGCUGGCAUGACCCCACCUCCUGGUAUUCACACUAUCGCGUGAUCUCCUCUGGGUUGUAGGCUAGACUUACUUCUGCCUGAUAAAAUUCGGCUAAAGUGAUAGGAUGCCACUUUGGGGACUAGUUUAGUAGAGAUUGUAACUUUUGUCUUGCUGUCAAUAUUGCUCUAAUAAAAUCUUCCUUGCCGGCUUUGAGGAAAAGCCAUAUGCUAAGAGCCAUGUAACCAGGACCUGAAGCAGCUUCCAGCCAAUAGCCAGUGAGAAAUAGAGCUCCCAACAGCAAGGAGUCGAUCCUGCCAGUGAUGUGCCCCCUUGAGUGGGUCCUGCACCAUCCAGCCUUCUGAUGAAGCCCCAGCCCUGGUCAGCACCUGACUGAAGACGUGUGAUACCUCGUGCAGAGGAUGCAGCAAAGCUGUCCCCAGACCUUUGACCCAGGAGCUCAUAAAUACAUGUUGCUUUAAACUACUAAAUCUGUGAUCAUUUGUUACACAGCGAUGGAGGCCUAGAGAGAGGCUGAGUCUACCUGUGACCACGAGCGGUUAGACCCUGCAUUCCCUGGACAGAUUGGAGGAGGAUUAUCAGACCUUCUGUCUAAAAGUAGGAGUCCCAGGCCUGAUUCUAACAAGCACAUUAGUAGGCAGCACAGAGUUAACUGCUGACUGUGUGAGCUACAGGUGCAGGACACCCUGGAGUUCAAGGAGCAAGUACAUGAUGCAACCAGGAGUCAGUUAAGUCCUGUGUGGACUCUGCAUUUGUUAGUCAUGCACACGUUCAGUGAAGGAGGACAGGCCUCCCCUCAAGUGAGUGCACAGAGACAGCAGAGUUGACGUUUGUCAGCAAGGCUGAAGAAACAGAACAGGCCAGACUCCUUGUGAUCUGAGUCAGGGAGAGAGACUUACAGAGUUGAUUCACACACACAGGAACCAGAAGGCACAGGGCUUUCAGGUGAGGAUUUAAAAAGAAAUGUGCUGAGCUAAUGAAGUUAGGGUGGGAGGUGGGAAUCCGAUUAAAGACAUCAAGCAGAGUAAUCAGAUCGGAGAAGCAGACCACCAGAUUACACAGUGUUGAUCACUGGUUGAGACUAGAGGGGAACUGGUAUUAUUUGUAAAAUGGUAUUUUGAUUUUUAUCAAAGUCCUUUACUCACUGAAGGUAAACUAAAAUAGAAGAAGGAUAAUUAGGGAAAACCAGGUUAAAAGUCUAAAAAAAUUUUUUUUUUGGUUGAGAUGGAGUCUUAUAGGAAAUUUUUAAUCAGAAAAAUAUCCAUUUCUCAGUUCAUAACGGCAAAAGAAGGCUGGACAUAAAUAAUGGUGGUAAAUAUAAAUUUGCUAAGUGACAAUAUGUUAAUUACAGAUCCAUAUUUAGCCAAAAAGAAAAAACUGAAAAUACAGAAAAUCACCUUAAAAAUAGAAGCUGAGAAAAGGGAAGGUAGAAAAACCACUGGAGGGCAUCUCCGUGACCCUUUAGUGACUUCAGAGGAGACAAGAAAUUUUGGUAUCAAACUUUCUAUAACAAGAAGUAAAAAUUAAUGCCUGUAUUUACCUAUUUAGACCCAGAAUGGAAACAGGUUCCUGGACAAAGCAGAGAGCAGCAACCUCCCUGGGAGCCCCCUGUUCUGGGAGGCGUGGGCCCAGGGACCCCUGGCCGCCAUGCAGUGACCACUCCCCUGACAGGCUGCCAACAGGCCCCUAGGGAGGCAAUGCUUCCCUGCAUGUGGAAGACUUGGGUUCAAGGUCCAGGCAGGUUAAGGAAUCCGCCCUGUGAUUCACAGUGAGAAAAUGGCACAGCCAGUGUGUGCAGCCCUGGUGGAGAAGGGUACCAGGUCUUCCCGGGCUGACCUGUGCCCUGCCCAAAUUCAUACGUGGAAACCCCAUCCUCCAGGACUUCAGAAUAUGACUCUAUUUGAAGAUGAGUCUUGAGAAAGGUGGGUAGGUUAAAGGAGGCCACUAGGGCGGGUCCUGAUCCAAUAUGACUGCUGUCCUUAUGAGAAGAGAGAGUUUGGACACACCUGAAGACAGCCAGGGUGUGCACACACAGAGAAGGGCCGGGUGUGGACACAGCAAGAAGGCAGCUGCCUGCAAGCUGAGGAGAUUCCAGGGGAAUCGAACCUUCAGCACCUUGAUCUUGGACUUCCUGCAUAAGGAACUGUGAGAAAAUAAAUUUCUGUUAUUUAAGCCACUCAGU